GGGCAUUGAAGUGAUAGACUGAGGUCUAGUAGACUUGCUGUCACCUGAGGCCUUUCACUCAUCAGCUUGUCUUCAAAUCUAGACAGCUGGGUCUGAUGCCACAUUGGUGUUAGAUGUGCUAUAGAGUGGGAGCCUGCAGGACCCCUAAAAGGUCUGUGCUUCAUACCACUUAUCUGUAAUGCAGGAACUGAUGUCAAAGCCUUAUGUAUAUGGUGUCUCCCAUAGCCUAAUUAAACAAAAAAAUCCCAGCAAGGAACAGGUCACAUUUUAUCCCUUGUUUUUAAUAUUUUAUUAACUUCAGUUUGUCCUUGAAGCACAUGGGUUUCUGCUGAGGUUAUUCCAACAUAUUUGCCAAAUCUUUGCUAUGCCUUGAGUGUUGGCCUGGUGUGAGAAUUUGCUGAGAUGUCUGUGAGGGGUGGCUGUGCAGAGGAGACAUCUCCGUUGUGUCUCUCCUCGUGUGUGCUUGGGCAUGGGGAUCCCACAUCAGCCUCGAAUGGUGGUGCUGCAGAAGGCACCUUUGCACUUUAUCCUGUUCACUUGUUUCAACGAUUAAUAUUGUAAAUGUUUUGUGUUUCAGCCAGGGCUUGAUCAUUGGGCCUGUGGUUAAUUGCCUUAUUUUUAACCUACCUGAUGCAUUGGUCUCUCUGCCCCUCUGCCAGUCACCUGUGGUCACUGCUGGUCUGCAUUCACUAAAUUUGGCAGAUGGGAGGAGUUCUCAGAGGUAUCAAGUCAUCUCAAAUUUAACUAAAGGAGGCAGGUAGAGGGGAAGGAAGGAUUCAGGUGUGUGCUUAGCCUUUAUAAAACAACAGAUGAUCCACAUGAAAAAGAAACUAAUAAAUACCUUCAAGCAGUUUUGGCUUUGGACUGAGCUAGCACCUUCUUAGAAGUCAGCAGGGUAUUGGGCACAGAUCUGCAGGAAAUGAGUUCUGUUGGUUCUAGUGUUGGUGGGCAGCAGGUCCUUCUGGGAGGGCACUGCUACCUAACAGAGAUUGGGUUUGGGCCUCUCUUUAUUUUGUGAGUGCGUAGAUCACCUGCAGCACUCCCUGGGUGACAAUGCGUCUCUCUGGCAAACAGCAAUUUUGAAAAGCUAAUGGUAGGAAGAAGUAUGUUUUGCAGCUGAACUUCUUUGAUAAUUGUCUUGUCCUUCUCAUAAUCCCCUUUCCAAUCACACCAUCGCUGUCUAUAGGUACACAUGUGUUUCCAUGACUUCCCUAUGUCCCCUCCAGCAACUUUUAAACCUUUUGACCAAUUUCAGCUGUAUUUGACAGCACAGUAAAGGCGUCAAAGAUAUGACAUUCCUGCAUGUUUAGUGAAAAUCCACGGUCUAGAAGAAAAGAGAGGCGCAAAAUGGGUCCCUGCUGAGGGAAAGACUCAAAUAUACACUUCCAAUUUGCUGAAGAAUUUCCCGUGAAAAUGCCGCAGUUUGACUAGCGCCCGCAGCAAGCCAUCAGGCACACAUCUGUAGGAGGCCCAGAUGUUACCUGUCCCAACAAACCAGAGUAAUUUUGUCACACUGGCUCCCUGCGCCUUUUCUCCCCCUCCAACUUCUGUCUCUCAGCACCAGACACCGAAAACCAGCCUCCGGGUUUAUCUCGCCAGCCAAAGUGAUGAGAGGGGGAUUUUGGGAGGUUUAGGGAAAGCUCAGGGCUGUGCGCCACAGGACAGGGCUGCCAGGGGUAUGAACUAAGCCCAAUUCUCACAACACCAGUAUUGGAGGUGGCCACCGAGUGCUGUUCACCCGGAAGCCUGGGGCUGCGUCUCGCCAGUCGCCUGCUCACUUCUCCUCACCAGAGAGCCGCUUGGGAGGCAUCGCUCGCCCUCCAGAGGCACCAGCCUCCCCGCUGGCUCCUGGAGCAGAUUAGAUGCCUAUUUUUCAGAUGGUUAAAUCGUUCAAUUCAGUGUGUUUUCUCUCCCCCAUACCCUCUGAGCUGUGCGCGGUGAGGCACGAGGGGCUACGACCGAGGAGCCGGGUCCCGCUGUGCCGUUCGCUGUCUGCCCCGUGGCUGCAUCCAUCCCAUAUUUCUGAAUGGGAAGGAAGCUCCACGCAGCACAGAGACUCACAAACUUAGCGACACAUCUGGGUGCGUAUUUUUAAUUCUACUGCCAACACUUCAGGGUGAGUUAUGUGAUGCCUGGGAGAGAUGGAUUCGAUCCAGGCUUGUGUCUCUAGCACAAAACCACGCUGUGGUUCAGCGCUGGGCAGGCUCGCCAGGCUUCGGUUUGCCCUUAGGUGGGGAUGGAGCAGCUGCUGGAGCAAUUUGUGGUGUGAAUAGCUGCAGGUUGCAGCCUCCAAAAUACCUUCUCCUUGCAGACCCUUGUGUUACCCCAAAUGAAUAUGAGCAGUUUUUCCAGGGGAGGAUGUUACAGUGCACUAUCUGGACACUGUGAAAGGAUUUAAUCCAAACGUUUGGGAGAGUGUCAGAAAGCCAGCUGGAACCUGACAGGAGGGACAUCGGUGCAAAGCCUUUGCUGCAUUUCUGAGGCUCAGAAAUCCUCCCAGCAAUCCCAGUGCGAUGAGUGCUUUGACAAGCAGAGGGGUUAUCCAGCUGGACCAGCACUUCCAUCCCUUCCUGCCUACCUUCAUCCACAGAUGCCUAACUCAAAAGCCACUGGAAUCACCGGAAAAACUCCCACUGGCUUGUGUAGGCAUCUCAUCAGCCCCAUUAGAUCAUCGCUGAACCACACUGCAGCUUGGCCACACGUCUCAGCAGAGCUGCCGUGGUGAAGGAGGGUGAGGAAGCACAUCAGUCCUCCAAGAAAAGAAGGACCCCUGCGCUGGAAGGGGAACUGCCUCCAUUUGAAUGUGUGACCAUGCCUCCGAGGAACCACAGUCGGGGGGCUUGUGUCCCAUUUUCAUCUGUGCUCCUGGGGCGCCCCACGCCAAGAGCCACCGAGAGACUCCUGCCCCUGCUCCACAAGGCAGGCAGCCAUGAUGGCCAGCAGGUGAUGCCCAGCAGGUGAUCUUCUCCAGGCCAGGAGAGCUUUCCAAUGAGAACGGGGGAUUCAAACUGCAGUUUUUGCAUGUCAGCCCCAUCAGACACCACCAAGAGAUAAUGUAUAUGCUCUGCUCAGUCUGGGGAACUGCAGAAUAAUGAAACGGCUCUGAAAAGGUCACAUGAAAGAGUAAGAGACAGCAGCUGCUUGGAAACUUCCCAACUUUCAUCCAAGUGUUAUGGAAAUGGCAGAUUGUUCCUGCAGAAGCUGAUAAUUCAGCUUGGAGCAUGAUAUCAAAAGGUAAGCUCUACCUUAAUGUAUGUAUGCUGGCAGAGACCCUUAACUGAUCUACCCUAUAGUGGUGGACCAAGGAAUCAGGAAAUAAAAACUGGGCCUGGGUCCUCACCAUUGCUUGUCCUUCUUUCCUGGGCCGAACUCAAGGUCCAGAGGGGGAGAAGAAGGCUUCUUGCUAGGCUCAUCCCUCAGUUUAUGCAGAGCUGGUUGAGUGUGGGCCCUGCUCUCUCUGAGCCUCUGCUGUCUAGCAGAAAACCUGACAAGAAAUGGAUGGACCCACCCUGUCGUCUCACUUCUUUUUUGUGAGACCAAAGCAGAGAGACAGCAGCUGCGUAGGGACUUUCCAGUUCACAUCAAAGUCUUUGAGGAAACCUCAGGUUGCAGCUGUAGACAGUACUUUUUAUUUCAGCACUGCAAGGCUCAGCCUUUCAAAACUUGAUAUGGACCUCCGAGACUUAAAAAAAAAAUACCCAAUGUUGAGCAGGUUUUACUUGCCUUUACUUGCCUUAUGACUCCUGAGCUUUUAACAUUCAUAAAGAACUGAUUUCUUCUCCACGGUAUUGCUCCAGAUGCGAUGUCAGCACUGAUGCAACAGCACCAACCAGGGUAUGUGAUUUUUUCUGUACACAGAUGGGACUGUCUUGGGUGCUUUUGCUUGGAAAUACUAGGGUGUGAUUUAGAGAGCAUGUUUGCAGUUUAUAAUCAAAAUUAUCAUAAAUAUUUUCAUUUUAUAAUCAACAGGUAUUCAGAACAUUCCCUUUUUACAUAUUUGAUAAUUCUCUUGAUUCUACAUACUAACAAAUAGUGCCAUCUCUCUCAUACUCCCUGUCCCCAUAAUGACCGGUGAAUAUGAUGCACUAUAUUUUUCCAAGAAUAAUCCAUUCUUGCAAGGCUUUACCUGUUCCAUGGUUCUACUCAGAGUAAGUUCUGAAUUUUUUUUAGUUUAGAUACCUUGUGUUGUUCAGAGAUCACUCACAGUCAAGCAAGCUGAGAAGAUUGUUGCUAUUUAGUGCCUAAACUCUACAUGAUCUGCGUUAGGCAAUAGGGUCAGGGCCAUCCAUGUAGUUAAUGAUGGGAAGUGGUUAAUGAUAGGUCAGUGAUGAGAUAUGAUUAAUGAAGGGAAAAAGACUGCAGAACUGCAAAGUCACCGAGGGUCCCAGGAAGCAUUAGUAUAAAAACUCCAUCAGCUCUCCUAACUCCAAGCCUACAGCCACCUUUUUGCCCCCACCUCCUUGCUGGUAAAUCCAUGCAGAACAGCAAGAAUUUCCAAAUGACCUAAUGCGAGAACCUGGCACAGCCUCGUGCCCCACUGCGAGAGCCCAGGCUGGCCACCCACAUCACCUCCUACGCCCGGUCUGCAUCCACUCCAGAGGCUAUAAAAUAUAAGCGAUGAAUUACACCACUGCCAUCCUCAGCAUCACGAUUAUUAUUUUUAUUUUUUUCCUGAAGUGAAAAAGAAAUUAAAGCAAGAAUAGAGUUUGAUUAGAGUGAAGAGGAAAUGGGGAGAAGUAAGGAAACUAUACCCCGCAUAGAGAAGAAGGCCAUAAAACCACAAUGCAAAUUUAGACGCAAUUGCGUAUGUUUGGCAUUUCCCUGGGACUGUCUUUGACAGUGUUCACAGGGUUGAAUGCAGGAUUUGUGAAAAUGAAAGGCUUCCCUUACUUUUGAAUGUUCCUUUUAUUGCCUCAAUAUACCAGCUCAGAGGUAUGGAGUGAGCAGGCAGAGAUCAGGCACAGCAUUAGAAAACCAUAGGGUCCUCAAGUAUUCACUUCUUAGCAGUAUUAGUAAUAUCUUAUUUAUUUAAAAUAAGUGGUUUACAGUUCAGAAUAGAAAUGAAACUAUUAUUUUUGAGUAUUCCCAUGCCUGUUUAUAAAACUGUAUUUUUCAUAUUGAUUUUUUAUUUGUAAUAACAUUUGUAGUAACAGAAGCAGUCUCUGGCAUGUCACUACUGCGACAUGUCCGCCCUGGUGAUCAGUGGCAAUCAGUACUAGGUCUCCUGCCUAACAGCUAGCAGUACCCAGACCAUUUACUAGACCUUAAGACAGAUCCUGGAGUGUUCUACUGUUACAUUAUCCACCUCUGGAAGGAACCAAGAGACUAUUAAAGCGCUUGGUUAUCUAUACACUGGUAAUCAAAUAGCUGUAACAAAGUAUGGAGAUAUCUACUUGAUUUUCCAAAUGCUUGGAGCUCCCAUCAGUCCACUGGGAAGCAUAAGGAAACAGAGCAGGGAGCUGAACGUCUGAUUAAACUGCUGGACAGUAUGUAUGCAGUUCUUCAGAGACUCCUUGGGAGACAAAAGAAAGGAAAGAAGUGCUCAGCGCCCUUACCAGCCUGGGUUUUUGCUUUGGCUCAUUUGCAACCUCAAAAACAUGGAAGGACUUUUUGUUUCGUAGAUCCGUAAAUCUGGUCCUGUUAAUGUUUUGUAUUUCAUAAUAAGGCAUGGUAGAGAGAGAUUGGAGGAGCUGCCUCAAUACUUAGCAUAGCUUGUUAUCUUAAAUGUCAAUCUUUUGGGGAUGGUUCCUGUGCCAGCAAUUUUCUUCAGGGGCUAGAAGCUAUGAAUAGUGGGCAACCACAUACCCAACUUUUCCACCUUUAGAAAAACAAAACAAAAAACUUAUACAUGCCCCAAAUAAGUAGAGCACACAAGUGGGGAACAGGAAGAAGGACUUAUUAUUUAGAACAGCAAAAAAGACUAAACCCUUACAAAAGAGUUGCUGCACUUCUAUGCAGCACACCACCCCUUGGAGACUAAACAGCAAUGUUAACAUCUGUACCUAUUUAUUCAGGGCAGGGAUGUGACCUUUCCAGGCUUAUUUAUUUCAGCAAACUCUGUUCAUGCUAUUAAUGACCGCUCAUAAGAGUUGCAAGACUGUAAUACAAAAUAAUUGCUGAUAAUAGAAAAACUGUGUGAUAGGAAGAGCAAUAAUUUUCCCAUUAUCAAGUGAUUAUUUUUUUCUUCAAGAGCAUAGAUUAAUUUGUACUCUGAGAAAUUGCUUCAAUUAUUUUGAAAAUUUUCUUAUCAAAGGUUUAUUUUGAAAUUGGCAACUGCACUUCCACAGAUGUGAAGGGUUUUUGUGGUCCUUACAACAAAUUUUGGUGACUUGAUUAGAUGGUGGUAUAAUAUUAUUGAAUAAUAUUACUGAAAUCAUUUUGUUCCAGGUUUCUCAACGUCUACCCAAAUCCUUCUCUUGACUGUGUGGAGGAAACACAACCCACAGAUUGAGCAACAAACCCAGAGAGCUUCAGGGCUUGAGUGGCUUCAGUCUCGUCCCUUGGCCCCAAAAUGACCCAGUGUCCUGAUCUAUAAAAUGAGGACAAUAAAAUCUAUCCACCUUUGUAAACACUGAUGAGACAGAUGGUUGAAUAACCAUAUGUAAAUUUUAAAUAUUAAUUAAACUGAGACAGGGCAUGAGGUAAUCACAAAGCAUAUGCUACUUUAGACUGGCUCAUUAACAGCUCUGCUACUGGAACCAGUUUUCUCAUGCAUCUGCAGUAACGAGCUGGAAGUGCAAUCUGCAAAAUCAUGGUCUUGAUCAUUUUUUAUCGUGCAAUUAUACUAUGAUAACAGUUUGAACCUGUGUGUGCACAUGUAACAAAAAGAUACCUCCAAGCAGUUUACAGUCUAAGACUUAAAAAUCUACUGCUUACUCUCAAUUUGUAUUGGUGUAACUCUGAAGUGAGCUGUAUUAUAAAAAGGAAUUAGGAUACUUAGGCAGCACUGUAGUAGUAUUUCAGUAGUUUCCGUGAGCUGUUACUUUUUGAACCAUCACCGAAAAUCUCGUACAACCAAUACACAUCUCUGACUUCCUUCUCGUGUGUGUUACAGGCACCCAGUAUUCCUAGCAGACAGUUUCACUUUCUACGAGACAAGAUGCAUCUGCAGCUCUGGUUUCCUGUCGAGUCCAGCUGGCAUCCAGAGACCGCACCAGAUUUAAGAGGCUGAUGUUCUCUCCACAACUUUGACUUUUCACAACAGCUACCUACACUCGGAAAAAUGAAACUGCUAGCCAACAGGGUGAAGCCCCUAAGUUCAGGAGACAUAUUUCACAUUUUAAAUCAAGUUCUGCAAUAAAAGAGAAUGAUCGCUUUUCAGGGCUCUUUUCUGUUUACGUUGAAUCCAAUACAAUGAAACUCUGACCCUGGCUGCAGUCCACCUCAGUUACUGCUGCAGUAAAAGUAACCAUACUCAUAAUAACGGCAUACAAAAUGUACAUGUUUUGACCUUCCUUCAAUUAUUUUCUGCAUCCAUAAUCAUCUACUGCACUGACAGACAUAAUCUAACAACCUAUACUCUAAAUGAAGCAGCUGUUCCUACAUGGGAAAAGGCUGAAUGUUGUAUUUUUUCCAUUUUAAAAGAGUUAAGAAACUGCUUAUAUGCUGUUUCUAGUGAAGGAAAGGUAUUUAUUUAGCAUAAAGACUAAAUAAUACUAAUAAUUCAGUCUUUACUGAAUACACCCAUAGCAGACCAUCCUUAAGAAAAUUUAUUAAGGAAGCGCUUAAUGCAUGAAAAACAAAAUGAGAGCAAAAAUAGUCACAAUAUUACAUCUCUCCAACCAAAGCCUUUUCCUCAGCUUACAUUUUGGUUUAGCAACCUAACAGGGACACUGCUAAUUUGUUUUCGGUUCUACUGUAAAAAUGUAAGUAUGAAGUUAUUUCAGUUGUUACACCUGCCAGUGACUCUCCACUGCCAAUUACUGUGGUUUUAUGAGGAAGUUUUCUCUUUCCGUUGCUGGGCAAAACACAAAUGUGAGUUUUUCUGUUUCAUUGUAAGGCUAUUAAAAUUUGAAAAAGAUGAGAUUUUAACCUCUGCAGUGUCUUUCAU